CAAAAAAUAGUUUAAUACUAAAACAUUAAUUUUGGAGAUUAAAAUUAUAAAAUAUUAUUUUUUUGA
rnacentral:tRNA from 1 species